GUUUAUAAAGCCAGUAAAUCUUCUCAACAUGGAGAAAUGCUUUCUGCUGAUUCUUCUAUCUGUGCCAGGGUUUCUGUCUGACAGCAUUAAACCAAAAGACAAAGAAACUGAUAUUUACAGAAAUGAAGAAGAGCGUGUAACUCUGAGCUGCUCGUAUGAUUCAAGCAGCAGUUAUGUCUAUCUCUACUGGUACAGACAGUAUCCUAAUAAAGAACCUGAAUAUUUACUGUAUAAAGGUGCUCAAUCACGGAGCCAUAUUGAGGAUAUACCAGACCCUCAACGGUUUCAGUCAGAUACAACCCAAACAUCCACUGAACUCAUUAUUAACAGUGUGACUCUGUCAGAUUCAGCUCUCUAUUAUUGUGCUCUAAGAGUUGAAGCCCAGUGAUACAAAGUCUAUGUGAAGCUGUACAAAAACUGAAAAUUAUUUUUCACUUUGAUCUCAAGCCACAUCAAACCCACAAUCUAUAAUUCACAUAAUAUAAUUACACCAGUGGAAACACCUGUGUGUGGUUACAGACCGAAUUUGCUAGUGAUGAAAAAAAAAAUCAUAAAUUUUUCCCAUGAAAGGCAAUAUAGUGUAAACCUGGGAAAACAUUUCUGGAAUUCUGAAACAAAAGUUACCAGUUAUCAUAAAUUCAUGUCCACUAUUUAGUAGGAGCAAUUUCGCUAUUGUUUUGUGAUAAAUGUAAAUGUUUGUCAUCUGCCACUAGGGGGUGAAGUUACAACAAAAACUAUAAAUGCAAAUGAGUGAAUGACUAUUUACUUUUGAAAAGCUAAUGGUAUUUUUCCCUACACACAGAAUACAGAGGGCAGAAUAAUCAAAGAUAUCAAACACACAAAGAGACUCUGAGCUAUAUAUAACAGAUCAAGUGCAACAGAUCAAGAAAAAAUGCUAUUAAUUGACAGUUAUCUCAGUUUUAAUGUGGCAAGACAGAAGGUGGUUUAAAUAUCAGAAACUCAAACCACACCCACAUUUACAGACAAUAUACUGUAGCUGCACAAACCACUCUCCAUUACAUUCAUUUACCUUUCAGUUUAAAAUCAUAAAGCAUAUAGUUUAUUAGAAAAUUUCCCACAAUGGAGAGAUGUAUUCUGCUGAUUCUUAUAACAGUAUCAGGUAAAGUGAACUUCAUUAAUCAGCACUAAACUAAAAUAUAUUGAGGAUUCAAAGUGUUUUUUAUGCACAUACUUAUUCAUGCUGACAUAUUUUGUUACUUUUUUAUGUUGUUUAUUCUUAGCACUGUUACUGUAACAACAGA